CCUACGGGAGGCAGCAGUGAGGGAUAUUGGUCAAUGGCCGUAAGGCUGAACCAGCCAAGUAGCGUGAGGGAAGACUGCCCUAUGGGUUGUAAACCUCUUUUAUGCGGGGAUAAAGGUGUCCACGUGUGGAGGUUUGCAGGUACCGCAUGAAUAAGGACCGGCUAAUUCCGUGCCAGCAGCCGCGGUAAUACGGAGGAUCCGAGCGUUAUCCGGAUUUAGUGGGUUUAAAGGGAGGGUAGAUGGGGUGUUAAGUCAGUUGUGAAAGUUUGGGGCUCAACCGUAAGAUUGCAGUUGAUACUGGCAGUCUUGAGUACAGUUGAGGUAGGCGGAAUUCGUGGUGUAGCGGUGAAAUGCUUAGAUAUCACGAAGAACCCCGAUUGCGAAGGCAGCUUACUAAACUGUGACUGACACUGAGGCUCGAAAGUGUGGGUAUCAAACAGGAUUAGAUACCCUAGUAGUC
rnacentral:rRNA from 1 species